UGCUCUUUCAGCUUGAGCAGUCAGAGAGAAGGGUGGGGCAUUUGCGGGGGUCUGGAUAUAAGCAGAAAGCAGGACUCUGUGGGUCACAGCUGGGGAGCCAGGUCUAGCCACCAUGAAUGGACCCCAUGCUCUGGUCACCAGUGGACUGAAGGUUGUCUGUGAAACAGGCUGUGGCCCAAGUCCUCCCUUCUAGCUCCUCUCAGGUCCUGAGCGCCUCUCAGCAGAGAUGGAGGAACUCUCAUCCAUGGAGACACAGGAACCCCAAGCAGCUAUGAAACGCCCCCAAGACAGGAGGAAGAGUAGGAAUUUACCCAGCCACAUGGGGUUUCUGGCCAGCCAUGUGCAGGGGACAGAUAACGCCAUGGCCAGGCCUUUCCACACCCAACUCGCGUCGGUGACCUCACAAGACACCACUGGAGGCGGCGUUGGCCCCACAGGAGCUCUGUGAUGGGGAAGUGAGGCCUUCUGGAGGCCAGAGUGGCAGGAGGCACUUCAAGGACGUCGUCUUCUGGACUUCCCCCCACGACUCCAGUUUUACUCACAUUCUUCACAGCAGCUGCUGGGACAGGCCUGGGGGCUGCCAGAGAAGAUCAUCAAAAGUCAGCCUGAAGCCAUUGCCAUUGAGCAUGCUGGUCACAGGAGGAUCAGGACCUCUUCUGCUGUCCAGGAGGACAGGGGGCUGCAUCGCAUCCCUUCCCCACAUACGCAACUGAUAUGGCCAAGGACUUACCCUGGGGACCCAUGAGUCAAGAGUAAAUGGAGAGAAACCCCAUUCCGACCUGGCUGGGAGCUGUACGCCCUGGGAGUUUACCUCAGGAAUGCUGUCCAUUCUCCUUACCUGGGAACAAGGGAAAACUGUUCAACAUCAUGGGAAGACCAACAACCUUGGAGCCCUGGAGUCAGUAUACUGGAGACAACCCUUUGUGGCCCCCAACCUGCUUUACUUCUCCAGGCCUGUAAUCUGUAACCAUUCUACCCACUGUUACUCCUUUUUUGCCUACCUGUCCUUCCCCACAUAGCUACCCAAUAUAAACUAUCAUGGGAGUUAAGAGCAGAUUUUUUAGGGAUGACCCCUGAUCUCCCACAAAUCUGGCAAUAUUGGAAUAAAUGUUCAUA